UCCGGCAGCUAGCUCUCUGCAACUAUCACAUGGUCACCCACUGAAGGUAAGCAGGGCUGCGCAGUACCUGAAUGGGAAACCACAUGGGAAAGCUGGGUUGCUGCCGGAA
rnacentral:rRNA from 1 species